GGUAGCGUGUCCGAGUGGCCUAAGGAGCACGCCUCGAAAGCGUGUGUGGGUGAAAGUCCACCGUGAGUUCGAAUCUCACCGCUACCGCCA
rnacentral:tRNA from 1 species